rnacentral:rRNA from 1 species
AAAGUCCUACGGGGCGCAGCAGUAGGGAAUCUUCCACAAUGGGCGAAAGCCUGAUGGAGCAACGCCGCGUGGGUGAAGAAGGUCUUCGGAUCGUAAAACCCUGUUGUUAGAGAGGAAAGUGCGUGAGAGUAACUGUUCACGUUUCGACGGUAUCUAACCAGAAAGCCACGGCUAACUACGUGCCAGCAGCCGCGGUAAUACGUAGGUGGCAAGCGUUAUCCGGAUUUAUUGGACGUGAAGAGGACGCAGGCGGUCUUUUAAGUCUGAUGUGAAAGCCUUCGGCUUAACCGGAGUAGUGCAUUGGG